rnacentral:rRNA from 1 species
UUUGCCUACGGGGGGCAGCAGUGGGGGAUAUUGCACAAUGGGGGGAACCCUGAUGCAGCGACGCCGCGUGGGUGAAGAAGCGCCUCGGCGCGCAAAGCCCUGUCAGCAGGGAAGAAAAUGACGGUACCUGAAGAAGAAGCCCCGGCUAACUACGUGCCAGCAGCCGCGGUAAUACGUAGGGAGCAAGCGUUAUCCGGAUUUACUGGGUGUAAAGGGAGCGUAGGUGGCAUGGCAAGCCAGAAGUGAAAACCCGGGGCUUAACCCCGC